rnacentral:rRNA from 1 species
GGAAGUAAAAGUCGUAACAAGGUUUCCGUAGGUGAACCUGCGGAAGGAUCAUUACUGAUUUGGCGGACCGAGCGUCAGCGAGGUUCCGCGAUCGCCCGUAUUUAAAACCCACGCUUUGAACGUAUAACAUAUAAUGUAUUUUUGAUAAAAAAAAAGAUCACUUUCAACAACGGAUCUCUUGGCUCUCGCAUCGACGAAGAACGUAGCGAAGUGCGAUAAGUAAUGUGAAUUGCAGAAUUCCGUGAAUCAUCGAAUCUUUGAACGCAAAUUGCACUCUCUGGUAUUCCGGAGAGUAUGCCUGUUUGAGGGUCAGUUAAAUAAAAAUCGGUGCUGUUGCUGCUUUCGUGGUGGCGCAUCGGAUUUGGGUCGUCUUACCUUCGGUUAAGUGACCUAAAACUUUGCAUGAUUUUCGAACGUAUUUAAACUAUUUACGUACGUUUGUGAUAUCGAAUACUAGGUGCGGUCAUUCUUAUGAUUCGCGCCUAUAAUCUUUUCAUCAAAAUGACCUCAAAUCAGGUAAGAGUACCCGCUGAACUUAAGCAUAUCAAUAAGCGGAGGA